AGAGUUAAAUAGUACGUGAAAUUGUUGAAAGGGAAACGAUUGAAGUCAGUCGUACUUACGAGUAAUCAACCUUUUAAGUGCGAUCUUUCGGGCAUUUGAGAGAGUGGUAACACCUUGGAUGUUCUCUAAUUCGUGCUUUAGGGCGUAUUUGCUCGUAUGUAGGUUAACAUCAGUUUCGGUCGUUAUAAAAUGACUAGAGGAAUGUGGCUUCGAUUUCGAUUGAAGUGUUAUAGCCUCUGGUAUAUGUAAUGACUCGGGACUGAGGAUUGCAACGAAUACCCUUUGGGCUAUCCGUCUGGUCUCUGACUGUCGUUUUGGUGCCGAAAGCUUGCUUACGGUUAUCGAGGUUGAUGGUCAAUAGAUUAGAAAGGUAAAUGGGUUAAACGGAUUAAAUUCGUUAAGGAUGUUGACGU
rnacentral:misc_RNA from 1 species